ensembl:lncRNA
UAUAUAUAUAUAUAUAUAUAUAUAUAUAUAUAUAUAAAACAAAAACACAGAAUAGUUUAUUAAUAAUUAUUUGCAACUAUUUGAUCUCAUUUAAAUAAUCAUAUUUUCCAAACUCGUACAUUCAAAUCCUUUAGAGACAGCAUAAAUCUGUUGUUGGCAGCAGAAUAAAUAUUACAUUUACAAUGUUAAAAAGUAUGAACAUGGUUAAAUACGACUAGUGGUUGAACAAGCAAUAUUCAAAACGUAGGAGAGAAAGAAAUUGAAUUUAUUCAUGAAUAUAUAAACGUGGUUGAGUAUUUAAAACGCAUUGAUUAUUCAUUAAUAUUAAUUUGUUAGUUUAUUAUUACAAUUACAGAAUUCUGGCUUGUUUCAUGAUGUACGACUGGCAAGUAUGCAUCACAUUAAAUUUAUUAGUUUACAUUAAAACUGUCAAUUUAUGUAAUUCAAAUGCUUAAAUAUUACAUUUAGCCCUAAAUAUUUUUUGAGUGCAUGCAGCUACAACGUUUCCCGAGUGAGUUCUUAAAAACUCACAGAAACGCUAAAAUACGGCGUCUAUUUUGCACUGGAACUUAGAUACACGAUUCUAAGAAGUGUUUUACUCUAAACAUUAUUUACUGAAGCUGAAGGACGAGCGAAAACAGCAGCGAUUCUGGUUCUUGAACUCUGAUUGUUCCUUUAAACGGGAAGUUCAGCAGAAUGAGGCUUCUGUCGUUUCUGGACGCUCGUUUGACCGCCGUGUUUCUGGAGAAACGCCAUGAAGCCGUCGUAGCGUAAGGCUGAGAUUGUACGUGAUGGAAGCUGCUGCUCGAAAACCCCAAAGCCUUAUAGACGCGGAUGUUUUACACUUCCCUUCUGGAUCCACCGAGCAGAAGCUCUCAACGAAAAACCAUCAUUUUAAUUAGCACACGAAAACAGAAAACAAACCUCUUCUCGCUACCAAAAGUGUGGCUUCCCAAAGUUUUCCUGAGAUAUGAUUGUCUUUCCUGAGCAAUGACUGGACAUUGCUGAGGGCCGACCCAGAUGCAUUCUGGGAAACCUGCAUGCCAUUUUGCAGCCAUGUAUAAACUCGAAGCUUGAGUGUUUGAAACUGUGGUUUCUCUUUCAGAAAGGGGUCUGUUCCUUUAAGUGUUGUUCUGAUAUUUAACUUAAAAAAAGAGAAGAAUAGAAAGAAAGAAAAAUACAAAUCAAUAGAAGACGUUUCUUUUGUUUUUUUUUAGCUCUCCACUGUUCAAAGCUGUUGUAAAUUGUCUGGUUAAGAAUAAAAACACAAUAAAAAGCUCUUUUGUACCCUCAAACCCCUCUAUGUCCUUCAUGAGGAGUAGGGCAGCCUUUCUGAAGAAGCGUGUAGAGAAGCAUCAGAAAUGCAUCUUAAAGAGUCGGCGGCGUCCGUAUCGUAACACACUGGAUAUCUGUACAUAGAUGCGCUUUAGUUUCUAUCGUUGCCCUUUAAUUCUCUCCUCCUGUUGAAGACCUUGACUAGAUCUCCUGCGUUUGGCCUUUCUUCUGUGAUACUCCUGAUGAUUUCUGAUGGUGGCUUGUGAUGGUUGUUUACAGUUUUAUUCCUUUGAUUUCUCUGUAUUCUGUAAAUAUUGUAAUUCAUUGUCUUUUUUUAACUUGGUAAUAAAGUUAUCAGAUAACCUUAAA